rnacentral:rRNA from 1 species
ACGGGAGGCAGCAGUGGGGAAUAUUGGGCAAUGGGCGAAAGCCUGACCCAGCAACGCCGCGUGAGGGAAGAAGGGUUUCGGCUCGUAAACCUCUGUCCUAUGGGACGAAGGAAGUGACGGUACCAUAGGAGGAAGCCCCGGCUAACUACGUGCCAGCAGCCGCGGUAAUACGUAGGGGGCGAGCGUUGUCCGGAAUGAUUGGGCGUAAAGGGCGCGUAGGCGGCCCGUUAAGUCUGGAGUGAAAGUCCUGCUUUUAAGGUGGGAAUUGCUUUGGAGACUGGCUGGCUUGAGUGCGGAAGAGGUAAGUGGAAUUCCCAGUGUAGCGGUGAAAUGCGUAGAGAUUGGGAGGAACACCAGUGGCGAAGGCGACUUACUGGGCCGUAACUGACGCUGAGGCGCGAAAGCGUGGGGAGCGAACAGGAUUAGAUACCCUGGUA